UACAGAGGUGCCAAGCGUUAGGCGGAAUCACUGGGCGUAAAGCGCGCGCAGGCGGUUUCUUAAGUCUGAUGUGAAAGCCCACGGCUCAACCGUGGAGGGUCAUUGGAAACUGGGAAACUUGAGUGCAGAAGAGAAAAGCGGAAUUCCACGUGUAGCGGUGAAAUGCGUAGAGAUGUGGAGGAACACCAGUGGCGAAGGCGGCUUUUUGGUCUGUAACUGACGCUGAGGCGCGAAAGCGUGGGGAGCAAACAGG
rnacentral:rRNA from 1 species